CCUUCCCGGGCGGAGCAGGCGACGGCGGCGGACGGCAGGAUCGGCUGGCCGGCGGCGCCCACACCCGCCCCGGGGGCUUCCCCGGCCGCCGGCUUCCUUUUGCUCUUUCCGGGCGGCGAUGAGCGCGCAGGACCCGCGCGGAGGCUGCGGGCGCACAGGAGCCCGCGCUCCUAGCCACCUCUCAGGCCUCGGGAAGGAAGCCGGAGUGAGAUUGCGUUCUGCCCCGGACCGCCCAGGAAACCUCUGGAUUUGCCUGUCUGGACUUUGGAGGGUGAAUGGAACCACGGACUCAGUGCCUUCUGCAUGUGGCCACUGUGCUGAGCAUAAGGCAUGUGGAGAGUGCAGUCUUACUUGAGGGGUCAGAGGAAGCCAAGGAAAGGUGACUUAGCAGAGAAACGAGGGCACUGGCCCCCUGGGAGCACAAGAAGGAACAGCAGCACGGGAACAGCAGGGGCAUGGUCUAGCCACUCACUGCACCGCCCCAGCCCGGAGCCUCUGACCCUCGCCGUGUCUGGUUCUCCGCCGGCAGCAGGUAGGUGGACUUCGGCGAUGGGCCUGCCAGCCGGGGAGGAGCGGAGGGGUGGCUUCCGCCCCAUGGUGGGUCUUUGGUCCAGCUCUGCAGAAAGAGCAGGGGACGCUACGGUGAGCACCAGGCUACCCAGCACGCCUGGGGCACAGGUCGGGAAACUGAGGCUUGGAGCUGGCCCUGGAUGGGUCGGUUCUGGGUCUUUCUGGGUGGAUUGUGCGAUUCGUGGAGCCUCUGCCUGGGGACCUGUUAGCGUCACACUACCUUAGUUUCAGUGGUGGUGGGCGGAGGGGCACAGGCAGGGGCAAGUGCCAGGCUCCUGCUGCAGGCCCAGCUGCUUUCCUGCAGGGCGCCUCUGCGACCGCAGCCAGGAUGUCCAGGGACACAGUGCACCCCGCCAAGCUGUCCCUUGCUUUCCUGCGGGCGGGGUGGCUUUUCUAGCCCCAAGGGGGUGUCUCCUCUGCCUAUGGGAGUUGACACCCAGGGAGGGACCUCUGCUUCAGUCAGAUUAACAGCAAGGGCUCUGUGUUUCCCGCCAAAGAAAAGAAGCUGGGUGUAGUGGAGCAUGCUGAGGAGGCUGAGGCAGGAGGAUCAGCAGGUUUGAGCCAGCCUUGGCCACUUAGCAACUUAGAGAGACCUUGUCUCAAAAUAAAGGGCCGGGCGGUCGCUCACUGCAGUUGCCCUGGGUUCCAUUCCCAGCACCGCAGGAAAAAGGAAAUGGACACAAGAGUGCCUUGGAAGGCACUGCUUCCUGCUUCCCCUCCUCCCUCCCCCAGCCCUGCUGCAGCUGGAACAGGGGUUGGGAGGCUCUGCAUCUGGGGCUGCACCCUUGGGCACCACCUGCACACACAUCUGGCAGCUCCUGGCUUGCAGGUGCACAGGGCCCCUAGCAGGGCCGGGUGAGACCAGAAGCUGGAGUAGGUCAGAGGUUGGGGGUGGCAAGUGUGGCCCAUGGGGGUCUGGAAAGUCGGCAAGCAGGAGGGUGCAUGUCGAGCCUUCUGUUGUGGCCGGAGUGCGCAGGGAAGGCCUCCUGGCUCGUGAAGAUUUGGUGGGACCUCAGCUCUUCCCGAAGGUGUUGGGCUGAGAGGCUGGAGAUCUGCUGCUCCUCAGGAGGGUGUGACCCGGUCUCUCUCCUUGCUGGUGUCUGCUGUGGCCCCACAUUGCUGGCCAGGCCCCAGCCCCAGGUGUAGUCACCGGCCACCAUGGGCAAGCAGAACAGCAAGCUGCGGCCAGGAGGUGCUGCAAGACCUGCGUGAGAACACGGAGUUCACCCAACCAUGAGCUGCAGGAGUGGUACAAGGGCUUCCUAAAGGACUGCCCCACCGGCCACCUCACCGUGGGCGAGUUCAAGAAGAUCUACGCCAACUUCUUCCCCUACGGCGACGCCUCCAAGUUCGCCUGAGCAUGUCUUCCGUGCACCUUUGACACCAACGGUGAUGGCACCAUCGACUUCCGGGAGUUCAUCAUCGCGCUGAGCGUGACUUCUCGGGGAAGCUGGAGCAGAAGCUCAAGUGGGCCUUCAGCAUGUAUGAUCUGGAUGGCAACGGGUACAUCAGCAGCAGCGAGAUGUUGGAGAUUGUGCAGGUAGAGGCUGUACCUGCCCCCACGCCUGGGCCUCCAGGGGGCCGGGCUACCCUGGCUGCCCCUUUAAGAGGGAUCAGUGUCAUCUCCCUGGCUAAAAGCCCUUGUUAAGCCAGGCAUGGUGCUGCACACCUGUCAUCCCAGCUCUCUAGGAGACUGAGCCAGGAGAAUGCCAAGUUCAAGCCCAGCCUGGGCAACUUAGUGAUUUAGCAAGAUCAUGUCUCAAAAUAAAAAAUAAAAAGGGCUGGGGAUGUAGCUCAGUAAGAAGGCCCUGGGCUCAACCCCAGGACUGCUAAAAGAAAGAACAAAGCCAGCCAUGGUGGCACAUACCUGUAAUCCCAGCACUCAGGAGGCCGAGGCAGGAGGAUCACGAGUUCAAGGCCAGGGCCAGGGAUUUAGCUCAGUGGAUUACGCCGCCCAAGGACCUGAGUUCAAUCCCGGUACCAAAGAAACAAAAAGCAAGUCCAAGGCCAGCCUGAACUACAUAGCGAGACCUUGUCUCAAGAAAAAAAAACCAGCGUGUAUUAGCCCUUGGCCUAGGUGACA
ensembl:lncRNA